ensembl:lncRNA
GGAGAGCAGGGUGGAGGCAACUCCAACCCAAAGCUUCUGGGCCAGGAGGGGAGGCAGAAUGGCCUCCGGGCAAAACUGUGGUGGGGGAACAUGGACACAGUGGAACAAAACCAACCCAUAGCCACUUGUGGGACUGCAUCCACUUCUGCCUUUCAGAAGUCUGUUACAUGAACAUGGACCUUUGGCCUGCUGCUGCUGCUGCUGCUGCUGCUAAGUCGCUUCAGUCGUGUUUUACUCUAUGCGACCCCAUAGACGGCAGCCCACCAGGCUCCCCCGUCCCUGGGAUUCUCCAGGCAAGAACACUGGAGUGGGUUGCCAUUUCCUUCUCCAAUGCAUGAAAGUGAAAAGUGAAAGUGACGUCGCUCAGUUGUGUCUGACUCUUCGCGACCCCAUGGACUGCAGCCUACCAGGCUCCUCCAUCCAUGGGAUUUUCCAGGCAAGAGUACUGGAGUGGGGUGCCACUGCCUUCUCCGGACCUUUGGCCUAUUUAAUGUCAAAUAUUGGGGUAGAUAUAACAAAAAGUAUAAAGUGGUUUCUGCUUUCAAGGGGUUGAUAGUCUCCCAGAAAUGAGACGCAUAUAAACAAAUCAUUAUUGUAUCAGUUUGUCAAAGGUUCCAUGGAAAGACAGCCUGGGGCAGGAUGAACUCUGAAGGUUUAUUUGCAGUGCAUGAUCCCCAGGAAGCAAGAGUAAGGAAAACUAUGAGGACACCAAGGCAUAUGACCCAAACCUACAUGGCCACUUCACAGCACAGUGCCUGGACCCAGUGCUUCCUCCUGUAUACCUCAUCACCUACUGCUCCCAUGGUUCAGCAUCGUUUUGUAAUAGGUAGCAGAAAGGGCAAUUGAUUCAUUUAUUCAUUCAUUUACCAAAAAUUUACUGAGUCCUUAUUUUGGACCAGGAAUACUGAAGGCACUGGAAUUGUAACAGUAAAUAAAACAGUCAAGAAUCAUUGUCUUUGUCCCCUCAAUAAGUGGUGC